UACAGGAGGAAUUAUUUCGGGAGACGCUUUUGGGGGCAUUAUUUCCAGGGGCCCCAAAAUGUGGUGGGAGGGUGCAGGAAAGUAGAGGCCACAGGGCAAAUAUAGGCCAGAAAAAAAGUAGAUGCCGGAAGGGAGUGUGAGUUCUGAUGCAUAUUAGAGUUUGAAAAGGGCUGGGAAGCUGAAAAGGGGUGGGAGGCUGGAGGGCAGUGGAGGCCAAAAAAAGGUGGGAGGUUGAAACGGGGUGGGAGGCCAG